rnacentral:rRNA from 1 species
CCUACGGGUGGCAGCAGUGAGGAAUAUCGGUCAAUGGACGAGAGUCUGAACCAGCCAAGUAGCGUGAAGGAUGACUGCCCUAUGGGUUGUAAACUUCUUUUAUAUGGGAAUAAAAUGUUUCACGUGUGGGAUUUUGUAUGUACGAUAUGACUAAGGAUCGGCUAACUCUGUGCCAGCAGCCGCGGUAAUACGGAGGAUCCGAGCGUUAUCCGGAUUUAUUGGGUUUAAAGGGAGCGUAGGUGGAUUGUUAAGUCAGUUGUGAAAGUUUGCGGCUCAACCGUAAAAUUGCAGUUGAAACUGGCAGUCUUGAGUACAGUAGAGGUGAGCGGAAUGCGUGGUGUAGCGGUGAAAUGCUUAGAUAUCACGAAGAACUCCGAUUGCGAAGGCAGUUCACUGGACUGCAACUGACACUGAGGCUCGAAAGUGUGGGUAUCAAACAGGAUUAGAUACCCUAGUAGUC